UUUUUUUUUUUUUUACCAAUUAUAUUAUUCCCUUCUCCCCAAGAAGUGGGCAGAAAAGCUUUGUUAACCUCCUUUUACAGAUGAAGAAAAACAAGAUCAGAGGUGCUAAGUGCUGUAGCCUAGUGCCAGGUCUUCUGGCCCCAAUUCUGGGUUCUCCCCAAGCCCAUGCUUCUUCCACUUUCUCACAAUCUUUACUUCUUCCUCUGACCCUCACCACCACCCAAAAUGCUUUUAAUUCUGGAAAAGAAACCCAGCUGCACACUGGCACACUUGACCUUCCUGCAGUCAGAAGCCUUGGCUGAUUCCCCAUCCAAAAUAUUAGAGAUGAAAUGAAAGCAAAGUAGGCAUCUGACAAAAGUUGCUUUUUCCCUUCUGCAUUUUAGGACCUCAAGUAAUGUUUAUCCAGAAACUGCUAUCAUACCAGAGAUUCACUGUGUAUUUAACAACAUAGGCAUACAAUCUGGCAAAUUUGAAAAACUCUUAACAUACACCCCAAAUCCCUGCCCAAAUUUAAGAACUAGGGUGGACACAGUGCUUUUUUCCAUGUCGCAUCUUCUGUGAUGGGGCUACGAUAUGUGGGAGCAGAGAAUGGGGAGGGUGGAGCGCAUGCCAGAUGAGGAUCUAUCAGCAAUGGGAGGGGGCCUCCACUUUAGCAUCUCCACCCUGCUCCUCUCAGAGGACCGCCUUUCAUUGCAUUCAGCUGUGAUGGUAGCAAGAACACAGGCGCACCGAGGACGAGGAGAGCGGGAGCCUUGUGCUCUCUCUGCAUCUGAGGCAGGACAGCACAGGGUAUGGAGCAGUCUGCAGAGAGGCCAGCUCAUCAGCUCAUCAGGGAAGCACUUGUCUUCCACCUUGGGCUUUGACUGAGCACUGGGCAAUUGGACCCUGGGGAUCAAUGAAAUAAUCCUAAGCAGAGUUACUCUAUGUCACACUAUGGAAUGUUCCAAGUAGAUGGCCGUGUUUUCAAAAGAUAUAUUUUCUCCUUUUGUUGUUGCCAUUUCAUAGGUUUAGGAUUGGGUGUGUGUGUCUCCUCUCUGAAUGGCACUCAAAUGUUUGCUGACUCCUACUCUGCGUGACUGGGGUGUACAGCUAUGGACUGAUGCAUCCCAUCCCAUCAUCUUUCACGAGCAAAGCAGUCUCUUUUUUGACAGCUGAAGAAGAAUCUGUAGGGAAUCCAGAAGGAGCAUUCAUGAAGAUGUUACAAGCCCGGAAGAAUUACACAAGCACUGAGCUGACUGUUGAGCCGGAGGAGCCCUCAGACAGCAGUGGCAUCAACUUGUCAGGCUUUGGGAGUGAGCAGCUAGACACCAAUGACGAGAGUGAUGUUAUCAGUGCACUAAGUUACAUUUGCCAUAUUUCUCAGCAGUAAACCUAGAUGUGGAAUCAAUGUUACUACCGUUCAUUAAACUGCCAACCACAGGAAACAGCCUGGCAAAGAUUCAAACUGUAGGCCAAAACCGGCAAAAAGUGAAUAGAGUCCUCAUGGGCCCAAUGAGCAUCCAGAAAAGGCACUUCAAAGAGGUGGGAAGGCAGAGCAUCAGGAGGGAACAGGGUGCCCAGGCAUCUGUGGAGAACGCUGCCGAAGAAAAAAGGCUCGGGAGUCCAGCCCCAAGGGAGCUGGAACAGCCUCACACACAGCAGGGGCCUGAGAAGUUAGCGGGAAACGCCAUCUACACCAAGCCUUCGUUCAGCCAAGAGCAUAAGGCAGCAGUCUCUGUGCUGACACCCUUCUCCAAGGGCGCGCCUUCUACCUCCAGCCCUGCAAAAGCCCUACCACAGAUGAGAGACAGAUUGAAAGACAACACACACUAUUUCCAUUUUAGAAAGUGCAAAGGCUAGAGUUACAAAUAUGAAGGCUUCUAAACCAAUUUCACAUUCCAGAAAAAAAUACCGCUUUCACAAAACUCGCUCCGCAUGACCCACAGAACACCCAAGGUCAAAAAGAGUCCAAAGUUCAGAAAGAAAAGUUAUCUGAGUAGACUGAUGCUCGCAAACAGGCCUCCGUUCUCUGCAGCGAAGAGCCUCAUAAAUUCCCCUUCACAAGGGGCUUUUUCAUCCUUAGGAGACCUGAGUCCUCAAGAAAACCCUUUUCUGGAAGUAUCUGCUCCUUCAGAACAUUUUAUAGAAACCACUAAUAUAAAAGACACAACUGCAAGAAAUGCCUUGGAAGAAAAUGUUUUUAUGGAAAACACUAACAUGCCAGAAGUCACCAUCUCUGAAAACACAAACUACAAUCAUCCUCCUGAGGCAGAUUCCGCUGGGACUGCAUUCAACUUAGGGCCAACUGUUAAACAAACUGAGACAAAAUGGGAAUACAACAACGUGGGCACUGACCUGUCCCCCGAGCCCAAAAGCUUCAAUUACCCAUUGCUCAGUUUGAAAUUCAGCUAACCCAGCAGCUACAGUCCCUUAUCCCCAACAACAAUGUGAGAAGGCUCAUUUCUCAUGUUAUCCGGACCUUGAAGAUGGACUGCUCUGGGGCCCAUGUGCAAGUGACCUGUGCCAAGCUCAUCUCCAGGACAGGCCACCUGAUGAAGCUUCUCAGUGGGCAGCAGGAAGUAAAGGCAUCUGAGAUAGAAUGGGAUACGGACCAAUGGAAGACUGAGAACUACAUUAAUGAGAGCACGGAAGCCCAGAGUGAACAGAAAGAGAAGUCGCUUGAGCUCACAAAAGAAGUUCCAGGAUACGGCUAUACUGACAAACUCAUCUUGGCAUUAAUUGUGACUGAAAUACUAAUGAUUUUGAUUAUACUUUUCUGCCUCAUUGUGGUUUAGGAUUGGGUGUGUGUGUCUCCUCUCUGAAUGGCACUCAAAUGUUUGCUGACUCCUACUCUGCGUGACUGGGGUGUACAGCUAUGGACUGAUGCAUCCCAUCCCAUCAUCUUUCACGAGCAAAGCAGUCUCUUUUUUGACAGCUGAAGAAGAAUCUGUAGGGAAUCCAGAAGGAGCAUUCAUGAAGAUGUUACAAGCCCGGAAGAAUUACACAAGCACUGAGCUGACUGUUGAGCCGGAGGAGCCCUCAGACAGCAGUGGCAUCAACUUGUCAGGCUUUGGGAGUGAGCAGCUAGACACCAAUGACGAGAGUGAUGUUAUCAGUGCACUAAGUUACAUUUGCCAUAUUUCUCAGCAGUAAACCUAGAUGUGGAAUCAAUGUUACUACCGUUCAUUAAACUGCCAACCACAGGAAACAGCCUGGCAAAGAUUCAAACUGUAGGCCAAAACUGGCAAAAAGUGAAUAGAGUCCUCAUGGGCCCAAUGAGCAUCCAGAAAAGGCACUUCAAAGAGGUGGGAAGGCAGAGCAUCAGGAGGGAACAGGGUGCCCAGGCAUCUGUGGAGAACGCUGCCGAAGAAAAAAGGCUCGGGAGUCCAGCCCCAAGGGAGCUGGAACAGCCUCACACACAGCAGGGGCCUGAGAAGUUAGCGGGAAACGCCAUCUACACCAAGCCUUCGUUCAGCCAAGAGCAUAAGGCAGCAGUCUCUGUGCUGACACCCUUCUCCAAGGGCGCGCCUUCUACCUCCAGCCCUGCAAAAGCCCUACCACAGGUGAGAGACAGAUUGAAAGACAACACACACUAUUUCCAUUUUAGAAAGUGCAAAGGCUAGAGUUACAAAUAUGAAGGCUUCUAAACCAAUUUCACAUUCCAGAAAAAAAUACCGCUUUCACAAAACUCGCUCCGCAUGACCCACAGAACACCCAAGGUCAAAAAGAGUCCAAAGUUCAGAAAGAAAAGUUAUCUGAGUAGACUGAUGCUCGCAAACAGGCCUCCGUUCUCUGCAGCGAAGAGCCUCAUAAAUUCCCCUUCACAAGGGGCUUUUUCAUCCUUAGGAGACCUGAGUCCUCAAGAAAACCCUUUUCUGGAAGUAUCUGCUCCUUCAGAACAUUUUAUAGAAACCACUAAUAUAAAAGACACAACUGCAAGAAAUGCCUUGGAAGAAAAUGUUUUUAUGGAAAACACUAACAUGCCAGAAGUCACCAUCUCUGAAAACACAAACUACAAUCAUCCUCCUGAGGCAGAUUCCGCUGGGACUGCAUUCAACUUAGGGCCAACUGUUAAACAAACUGAGACAAAAUGGGAAUACAACAACGUGGGCACUGACCUGUCCCCCGAGCCCAAAAGCUUCAAUUACCCAUUGCUCAGUUUGAAAUUCAGCUAACCCAGCAGCUACAGUCCCUUAUCCCCAACAACAAUGUGAGAAGGCUCAUUUCUCAUGUUAUCCGGACCUUGAAGAUGGACUGCUCUGGGGCCCAUGUGCAAGUGACCUGUGCCAAGCUCAUCUCCAGGACAGGCCACCUGAUGAAGCUUCUCAGUGGGCAGCAGGAAGUAAAGGCAUCUGAGAUAGAAUGGGAUACGGACCAAUGGAAGACUGAGAACUACAUUAAUGAGAGCACGGAAGCCCAGAGUGAACAGAAAGAGAAGUCGCUUGAGCUCACAAAAGAAGUUCCAGGAUACGGCUAUACUGACAAACUCAUCUUGGCAUUAAUUGUGACUGAAAUACUAAUGAUUUUGAUUAUACUUUUCUGCCUCAUUGUGAUGUGUUGUCACCGAAGGUCAUUACAAGAAGAUGAAGAAGGAUUCUCAAGGGGCAUUUUCAGGUUUCUGCCACGGAGGAGAUGCUCUUCACGAAGGGAGAGUCAGGUACAUUGGAGGAUUCAUUGCUGUGGCCAGGGAAGGCAGAGGACAUGCAAAAUUAGUAUUUCCCUUUCUAUCUUCUAGGAUGGACUUUUUUCAUUCAGACGGCCGCUCUGGCUUAAAGAUAUGUACAAACCUCUCAGUGCCACAAGAGUAAAUAAUCACGCAUGGAAGCUGCACAAGAAGUCAUCUAAUGAGGACGAGAUCCUCAACAGGGACCCUGGGUAAAUGACGGAGCCCUCACAGGUCCCAUCUAAAAUGAGGAGGGGGUGAGAAGCUUAAUUGCUCCUUUCAAGAAUCAAAACCUUGGCAUUGUUAUUCUUAUCCCAGGGACAGCGAAGCCCCAACAGAGAAGGGGGAGGAGAGUGAAGCCCUGCCAUAGGAGGAGAACCCAGCCCACCUCAGGCCUCCUGCAAAAACACAUAGCAUAAACAAUACCAUCAGAAAGAAAAGCAGGACUGAAGCCAGCGGCCCACACAUCCACAGAGGCAGCGGGCAGAGCAAGCACAGGGCCAUCGUUCCUGCCCUUGUUUCCCAGUCUAAUUAGUCACCCAGACCUGAAAACAUAUCCUCAGGGGGUGGAGAUUUUACAAUUACCAUUGUUUUUGGUGCCCUCUCCCUUGCUUCAUCAAGCAUCAGUCAUAUAAUACCACAGAUUUGAACUCCUGCCCACAGGGGACCUCCCAUCUCCUGGCCCCUAUCAUAGGAUCACUGGGCCUACCUGCACUGUGGGGCCAAGCCCUGUCUUUUUCCCAAGCCCUCAAGCACACGCAUGAGUGUUCAUCCCGACUUGGUAGGGGGCUUUUCACCCUUACAAGAUGGCAAAAGAUUCACAUUGCUUUUUUAAAAAUUUGUUUUUCUUUUUAAAAAUCCCAACCCUUGGAUAGCAGGGAGGUGCUGGAGGGGUAGAGUCAAGAAGAGUGUGAGAACAGUAAUUUCCCAAGACUGCCCUCUGUGGGACUGUAUUUCAGAAAACACACUGGUGGGGCUACCUCUCAAUUCACAUGUACUGCCCUAGCCUCUCCCCAUCCCCGGCUGACGCUCAUCCAUAACUGCACUGUUCCAUAACAGCAGUAGAAUGUUGCAGAAAGUGCUAGGAUUCCUCCACUCCAUCUUCAAAGAAAAAGUCGCUAAUAAAUCACAUUUGGUAGGUUAGUGAAUGUUAAACACAUUAGUGAGCAAAAGAAAAUAGGAAUGAACAAGAAUUGGUCAUCUACCUAACUGAACACAAAUGAACUCUGGCAGUUCAGUAAUAGGAGGUAAAGAACCACGCUAAUUGCAGAACAGCAGCCCCCCUACCUUCCCAGGAGCAGUGUGACUGGGAAGCAGCCCCGUGUGUAUGCUGGUGCAGGUUCUAAGCAAAGUGAGCUGCCCAUCAGUUCCGAUGAGUUUGCUGAUGCUAGACAUAUGACAUCUGUUCUCUUGCUGCCUGCCCCAGUUAUCUCCCAAAGUUCUUUACUGAGAAUGAAAAGCAUCUUUCUCUGUGUGGUGACUUCAGUAGGCCAACAAAUAUUUGAGUUUAAAGCACAAGACUAGUCAUAGGCAGAGCAGCGCUACCAUUUACAAUUUGCUUACUUGAUGCUAAACCGUGGGUUUGGCAUUUUACAGUCAUAUCAUCUAGCCCAGCAAGUCAUGGAAGCAUAGUUGUUAAAAUCAUCUGACACUUUGGGAGGCUGAGGCGGGCGGAUCACGAGGUCAGGAGAUUGAGACCAUCCUGGCUAACAUGGUGAAACCCUGUCUCCACUAAAAAUACAAAAAAAUUAGCCGGGCGUGGUGGCAGGAGCCUGUAGUCCCAGCUACUCAGGAAGCUGAGGCAGGAGAAUGGUGUGAACCUGGAAGGUGGAGCUUACAGUGAGCUGAGAUCACGCCACUGCACUCCAGCCUGGGCAAGUGAGACUCCAUCUCAAAAAAAAAAAAAAAAAAAAAUCAUCAUCUGACAGAUAAGGAUACAGGGCUCGAAGAACGAAGGUGACCUGCCCAAAGUGUCCAAAGCCACACAUACAAAGCAACAAAUUAGGGUUUUAAGCUAGCACUGUUAGACUUCAAAGCCUCUUAACCAUUCUACUGCCCUGCUGUAGGGCAUGGGGAGAUGGGGGGAUAAGCCAUGGUUGCCAUCAAAGAGUUAAUAUAACAAUAACAUGCAGAUGGAUGGCAGCUCCUGUUUAUUGGCACCAGCUGUGGUCCAGGUACAGCGCUAAGCACUAUAAUUACACUGUUAAGUCAUCAGAACAGAAGCUCCCCACACCAGCUCUAAUAGGGGUGAGUGUUGGACAUAAGCAGGGAGCUGAGAAGAAGCCAAGACAAGGCCGGUUGCAGUGACUCAUGCUUGUAAUCCCAGCACUUUGGGAGGCUGAGGUAGGUGGACCACCUGAGGCAGGAGUUCAAGACCACCCCGGCCAAUAUGGCAAAACCCUGUCUCUACUAAAAAUUACAAAAAUUAGCUGGGGGUGGUGAUGCACGCCUGUAAUCCCAGUUACUCAGGAAGCUGAGGGAGGGAGAAUUGCUUGAACCUGGGAGGCGGAGCUUGCAGUGAGCUUAUAAUGGGCCACUGCACACUAGCCUGGGCAACAGAGCGAGAUUCCAUCUCAAAAAAAAAAAAAAGCCAACA